AGCAGCCGCGGUAAUUCCAGCUCCAAUAGCGUAUAUUAAAGUUGCUGCAGUUAAAAGCUCGUAGUUGAAUUUCGGGACCAUCAUGUCGGUCGUGCCUCGGUACGUACUGGCAUUGUUGGUUUCUCCCUUCUGACGAACCAUGAUGUCAUUUAUUUGGUGUCAUGGGAAAUCAGGACUGUUACUUUGAAAAAUUGAGUGUUUAAAGCAGGCUCGCGCUUGAAUACAUUAGCAUGGAAUAAUGAAAUAGGACGUUUGAUUCUAUUUUGUUGGUUUCUAGGAUCGACGUAAUGAUUAAUAGGGAUAGUUGGGGGCAUUAGUAUUCAAUUGUCAGAGGUGAAAUUCUUGGAUUUAUUGAAGACUAACUACUGCGAAAGCAUUUGCCAAGGAUGUUUUCAU
rnacentral:misc_RNA from 1 species